AUUUGAAGGGGAAAACAGUGUACAGAGUUUUGAAUGCAUUAUCACAAGAUGUUUUUGCUUUUAUUUGUAUGGGGCUUUUUUGUUUGCUUGUUUUUGUUUUGACUUUUUAUGGAAAACAUCUGAUCUGAUAUCAGAGUUUCAGAAAUACUGGAUGGCUCAGUUCCUCACACAUUGAAACAAGCAACAGGGAGUAAAUGAAUCGCAAUUGUUCUCAGCUUUUUAUUGUGGUUUAAGAUACUUAGGAAUUAAAAUGUAGGUCGGUGAUGGAGGAUUUGCCUAGAACAUUCUCUGUCAGUCCUGAGUUUGAACCUCAGCACCACAAAAAUAAAACUAAAGUACAGUAAGUGAUUAAAAUAUGCAGGGUCCAUGGAAGUCCAAACAGGUUUUAAGAGCUUUCAAAGGAGCAGAAAAUUGCAUAUAAAUUGGGUCUAUUGACCAGAAAAUGGAUGAGGACACUGACAUUCUACCAUCCAGGAUUCACAAGUCCUAGUGGGCAGACUCCAGAAGUGGGUGAGAACCUGAGGCUGGGCAGAGAGUGAGGGGGGACUAGUGGGCACAGGGGCCUGGAGAGCAGGCCCUCAUCACCUGAGGCCACAGACACACUGGCUUGCAGGGAGCAGGGCACAGCUGUCCAAGAGUCCAUCCACUGACUGAGAGGUUCCGUGGCCACAGGAGUCCAGGAGAAGCAAGCACAGGAGAAAGGACUGUGGGGCAGAAAUGUCAGAACAGGACAAGUUAAGGUGCACAGGCAGAAAGCAACAAACUUUUCAGGGUGGCUGAGAUGAAAAAUUGAAAUUAAUAAAACAAAUCUAAACUCUUUUGAAAACAAAUUCCUCAGUGUAAAAUCUAAUAAAAAUGUCAGAAAUUUG
rnacentral:lncRNA from 1 species